UUUUUGCUAUCUGCGAUCUGGAUGAUUCGAACCUGCAGCAGGUUCGAGCCGAACGUAGUGAGGCACCGGAGCCGUUUUCGGCGACGGCCCGAAGGGCGAGCGAAGCGAGUCAUCCUGCACGACCCACCA
rnacentral:sRNA from 4 species